UACAAAGGAAGUUGACGGGGCCCGGCACAAGCGGUGGAGUAUGUGGUUAAUUCGAUGCAACGCGAAGAACCUUACCUGGUCUUGACAUCCCGGAGACCCUUAGGAAACUAGGGGGUGCUUCCAUCUGGAAGAAUCUGGAGACAGGUGCUGCAUGGCUGUCGUCAGCUCGUGUCGUGAGAUGUUGGGUUAAGUCCCGCAACGAGCGCAACCCUUGCCUUUAGUUGCCAGCAGUUCGGCGGGGCACUCUAAAGGGACUGCCGGUGUUAAACCGGAGGAAGGUGGGGAUGACGUCAAGUCCUCAUGGCCUUUAUGACCAGGGCUACACACGUACUACAAUGGCCGAUACAAAGGGCAGCGACACUGCGAGGUGAAGCCAAUCCCGUAAAAUCGGUCUCAGUCCGGAUUGGAGUCUGCAACUCGACUCCAUGAAGUUGGAAUCGCUAGUAAUCGUGGAUCAGCAUGCCACGGUGAAUACGUUCCCGGGCCUU
rnacentral:rRNA from 1 species